rnacentral:rRNA from 1 species
UACGGGGGGGGCAAGCGUUGUUCGGAAUUACUGGGCGUAAAGGGCGCGUAGGCGGCCUUCUAAGUCAGACGUGAAAUCCCUCGGCUCAACCGAGGAACUGCGUCUGAUACUGGAAGGCUUGAAUCCGGGAGAGGGAUGUGGAAUUCCCAGUGUAGCGGUGAAAUGCGUAGAUAUUGGGAGGAACACCGGUGGCGAAGGCGGCUUCCUGGACCGGUUCUGACGCUGCAGAGCGAAAGCUAGGGUAGCAAACAGG